ensembl:lncRNA
AGGACUGUGAGAGACCACAGCAUCAGAAGAGGAAACGGAGGCACACAGAGGUCACCAGCCUAAGUCUGGCCAAGAGGCAGGGCUGGAGCUGGAAACCCCAGGAGAGAUUCCUUCCAGGGGUGGCCCUGACCAUGGGCAUGGGGAACUAACAGACCCCUCAUUCUCUCCCUUGGGGAAGUGGGAGUGCAAUGACCAAAAAGUUAAUGACUUAGGUCUGGGGUCUCCCUAAACCCCCGUCCCACACCUCCCCAUAGCUUAAGGCUUGAUCUAGUUGGAGUGCGGGGUUGGAGGGAGGGUAAGCAAAGGAAUUUAUGAGAUGGAGGCUUCCAGGCUGGGGACGUUGAAGGACUCGGGGGUGUUUCACCAGCAGGUGAGGUUUCUCCAGAGCUGGAAAGCUUUAGUGGGGUGAAGGGGUUAAGGGGGAGCGACAAUGGAGGGGUUAACGGGGGCGGGCCCGGUCCGGGCGGGGCGGGGCCUCAGCUGGUGGCUCUGGCCCGGGGCCGGGAGGAGUCGCCGCCGGGUCCCUGCGCCGCCGCGGAUCCCGGAUCCCCCAGCCGCAGGGAGAGGCGCCGCCCGCCCCGUCCAGCCGCCACGCGCAGGUACCGCAGUCAGCUUUGAACUGUGAAGCAGGGCCACCUUGUCUUAACUGCUCAGCCCCCACCAGGACCAAGCUGGAGCCCCUCCCAUGUCCCUUUAAAUUUCCGGUAUUGGUAACCUGGUGCUGAUAGAGCCCUUACUCACCACCUUCCUGUUUCUUUAAAACCCUUCCCACAUUCCCCAGACUGAGUCUUCUCUCUCUUUCAUCCCUCAUAGGACACCCCCCUUUUUUUGUAGUCUUCGCCUCUUUGGUUACCUCCCUUAUUUCCAUAUUUCUUACUGGGGUCCUAGGAGGUGUCAGGUGUCAGCACCCCCAUCCAUCUGGCCUAGUCUCCUCUGCUCCCAAACUGUGAACUGCCCUAUCUCAACACUACCGCAUACAUUUCCUGCGUCUUCUAGUAUAUCUCACCUCACUGUUACUUCAGCAUAGCCACGCUUACUUUCUACAUCCUCCACAAAUCUCUGUCUCUCACCACUGCCCACUGAUGCCUUCACCUCCCGUAUAAACACUCCCCUUGGUCAAUCGUGUGUUACCCCAAUACUCUCCCAUUUAUACUCUGGUUGGGUCUAUAAAACCUCCUUGACAAAGCUCGUUGUUAAUCCUGCCACCCCCAAACCUCCCUCCUGUCGUAAUUCUAUCCCUUCUCCAACUUUUCUCUCUGAAGCCUCUGUCCUUCUCUGCCCAGUCUGGCCCACAAUUUUCAGUCCACCUCAUCCUCUAACCCCGUGAACUGCCUCCCACCAUGUUCCCCUGAGCCUCCAAGGAGGGGGCUCAGGGGGGCCUGAUGGCCUCCCGCCCCCCGUGGCCCCAAGCCCCCGUGGGCCAGGGGAAGCACCCUGAAAGACCCAGUGCCAAGGAUGGGCAACCGCACGUUGGAGGGCUGCCACGUGGACUCCCGCAUGGACCACCUCUUCCCGCCCUCCCUCUACAUCUUCGUCAUUGGCGUGGGGCUGCCCACCAACUGCCUGGCCCUGUGGGCCGCCUACCGCCAGGUGAGGCAACGCAACGAGUUGGGCGUGUACCUGAUGAACCUCAGCAUUGCUGACCUGCUGUACAUCUGCACGCUGCCACUGUGGGUGGACUACUUCCUGCACCACGACAACUGGAUCCACGGCCCUGGCUCUUGCAAGCUCUUCGGGUUCAUCUUUUACACCAACAUCUACAUCAGCAUCGCCUUCCUGUGCUGCAUCUCGGUGGACCGGUACCUGGCCGUGGCCCACCCGCUGCGGUUCGCCCGCCUGCGCCGUGUCAAGACAGCUGUGGCCGUGAGCUCUGUGGUCUGGGCCACGGAGCUGGGCGCCAACUCGGCACCCCUGUUCCAUGACGAGCUCUUCCGCGACCGUUAUAACCACACCUUCUGCUUCGAGAAGUUCCCCAUGGAGGGCUGGGUGGCCUGGAUGAACCUCUACCGAGUCUUCGUGGGUUUCCUCUUCCCCUGGGCGCUCAUGCUGCUAUCAUACCGUGGCAUCCUGCGGGCUGUGCGGGGCAGCGUGUCCACUGAGCGCCAGGAGAAGGUCAAGAUCAAGAGACUGGCCCUCAGCCUCAUCGCCAUUGUGCUGGUCUGCUUUGCGCCCUACCACGUGCUCCUGCUCUCGAGGAGCGCCGUCUACCUGCGCCGCCCCCGGGACUGUGGCUUCGAGGAGCGUGUCUUCUCGGCAUAUCAUAGCUCGCUGGCCUUCACCAGCCUCAACUGCGUGGCUGAUCCCAUCCUCUACUGCCUCGUCAACGAGGGCGCCCGCAGUGACGUGGCCAAGGCCCUGCACCACCUGCUCCGCUUUCUGGCCAGUGACAAGCCCCAGGAGAUGGCCAAUGCUUCGCUCACCCUAGAGACCCCGCUCACUUCCAAGAGGAACAGCAUGGCCAAAGCCAUGGCAGCCGGCUGGGUGGCAGCUCCGCUCGCCCAGGGGGACCAGGUGCAGCUGAAGAUGCUGCCCCCGGCACAGUGAACCUCGAAUUCUGCAGAGCCCCCACUCCUCCGGUCUAAUCCCCCACUCCCUUCCCUUCUGGCCCAGUGUAUGCAAAUUGUAUGUAAAUAAGGCCCUGUUACUAUUCAUAAAAUGUAAGAAAAUAGGA